AUGCUUGCUGUCCUAUUAGGAGAGCGAUUGCUUCUGUCGAGGUCGAAUGGGUAAAGUCGGCAACUCUACGCUAAAGAAAACAAAAUAUGAACCCAGUCUUUGUUUCAAUGUUAAUCAUAAAAAAAAAUAUCGAGGCAUUUAACUAUUGAGGACACAGUAUGAAGUUUUACACAUGUGAGGUGCAUGCAUAAGAGAUUGGCCCAAAAGGAAUGUUGUCUUUAUCCUGUGAAUUCGGACAUGCAGAAUAAUUGAAACAUUUGGAGAUAAUAAAAGAGAGAAAUUGAAACAUUAAUUUAAAUAUGGUGAUGUCCUGAUACUUGGAUGAAUGCUCAGGUAUCGAAUAAAGAAUUCUUCAGAUGAU
rnacentral:misc_RNA from 1 species